GAGAGAGAGAGAGAGAGAGAGAAUCGGCAGAGGGAAAAAAGUUCUUCACUGAGAGAGAGGAAAGAGCAGAGUGUGGUUCACACUGAGGCAGAGGAACCCUGCUCUCUCUUUUUUUCUUUUUUUUUUAACACAACAUAAGUGAGAGGGUAAAAAGGGAGAGAAGGGGGCUUUGGAGAGAAAAGUGGGAGGAAAGAGAGAAAGAGAGAGAGACAGAAAGGGUAGGACAGAUAAGGGGAGAAACGGCGGCAGAAGAAAACAGAGGAGGAAGAAGAGGAGGAAGAGGAAAAGCCAAAGCAUGUUGACCGUGGAAGGGAAGGAAGUUUGUCCAUGAGGCCAUGUGCUCAGCUUGAAGUCUUGCGGCGCAGCACGAUGGAGGAAAAGAUGGUACAGACCGAAGGGGGCGCUACUGCUGUGAUGGAAAGACGUAAGAAGAAAAAGAAGAAACCUCUGGUGAGAAAGAAUCAAAAGCAGGAGGAGGAGAGACCAUGAGGGAGGAGGAGGAGGAGGAGGAAGGAGGAGGAAGGAGGGGGUUCCCCUCAUUCCGAAAGUCAGCAACCGGCGAGGAAUCGCAACUCUCACCCCAGAAGGGUUUGGGAGUUCCCUAGAAGACAAGGUUAUAGGAAACAAACGUCCCACCUACCCUGACUCCAGCACAGGUGGACUUGGAUCUGCCUCAUCUGUUGGGUGCAACCGACCUGAGAUUUUUACUGUCUGGCUUUUCUUUGUCAGCUGUCGUUUGCUCAGUAGGCAGUGUAGAUCCUGUUAAAAGAUCAGCAGCUACAUCUGGCUACUGGGUCUCCGACGGCUAGUCGAGUCGAAUCUUUAUGGUCCAGUUACUGACCCACAUCUGCCCUCGCUGGACGGUGAUGUCACGAAGGCUCGGCUCUGGGGUCUUGUGACCCCUCUCUACUCAGCCCAGACAGGAAGUUGUGUGUCACAACAAGGAGCCCUUGUCAAUGACUUCCCCUGCCCUUUUUUUUUUCUGUAGUCAUUCUUUUAGUUUACCCUCAGUGAGAUGGUCUUUUGUCCUCGCGUCGAGACAUCGGCGAUGAACCGUCGGACGUGUGAACGAACCACUGCUGAGUCCUGAACCUGGCAUACAAUGUAGAUUUCUGUGUGCUUACAUUCUACAGCUACAUUGUCUGCUGGGUUUCUGGUCUGCGGUAAAAGCAGCUGCUGUUAGAUUGGAAAAAAAAACAAAAAAACAAAAAAAAAACAACGUCUGCAGAGUUCCUACAGAGGUAAGUCAGGUAGAAAGUGUGAUUCUACGAGCCACUGAUGCCCAGUUUUGAACCAUAGGUUUGGUCGCAGUCAAAACAUGGCUGCCGCUGAAAUCAACCAAAAAUAGCUCAGGGUUUUAUCCCGUCGUUGGACAGCUGUUUCCCGAACAGGAAAGUAAAGUUUACGAACCGCUCAUCCACCGUUGACAAAAUAUAUAUAUCGAGGAAAAUCGGCGACGUUAGCCGACAGUGACGAAACAUUUGUCGGUUUGUCGUUGCCUCCGGUGGUCACUUUGUGUAACUGAAAUAAAUCGGAACAAAAAAGUCGCACAGGACAGAUUUAAAGUAGUUGAUGGAGGAGGCAGCGGAAUUUGAUUUCUUCCGUGGACAUUGCGAUUAGAAAAUAAGUAAGUAAUGCGUCAGUGUCUCAUACGACUACACUUUGAAAAAUGUCCCUAAAAUUGUUUCUUUUUGUAUUUUAACACAGCUACGCAAUAAAUUCUCUGCACCCCACACGAUUUUUUUUGCUGUCAUUCUUUUCUCUCACGGGAAGACGUUCGAGGCGAAUCUGUGAAAUGCACGGAAUCUUAAUGGAUUCAGCUCUCGUGCUGAAACUGCUGAUGCUAACACUAACGCUGCGAUCGCUGCCGUUGACCCUCGAGCGAGAGAAUGUUCUCGCGGCUCGCCAUAAAAAAAAAAAAUAAAAUAAAAUUUAGAGGGGGGAAAAAAAAAGUCACCGUUGUCUGUCAGGAGGUUGUCAGGUCGUUGUAAAAGUGACUGCUUAUUCGUGAGGCAAGCGCACAAAUACACAAAGAGAAGGCGAGAGAGAGAGAGAGAGAGAGUCAGAACUAGGGUUUUAUGUCAUUUUUAGACAUUUGCUUAAAAAAAAAAAAAACACCUUCGAACCGACAUCAGCUCUGUUUUUUCCAAGACGAACACUUUCAGGGAAUCGAACGGAAACUGUUAAAAAACAAAUAGUAAUGACUUAACUAAGAAAGGUUUGAACGUCAACAGUGUGAGUCAAAAGGGGACAGGGGACGGGGACGGGGACGGAGAGUUAGCUUAAGGUGAAGUGGAGCAGCAGAAACAGGAGUAAGGACAGGAAAAGAAGAAGAAUAAAAAAAAAAAACUCUGUUAUUAGUGUACGUUCGGCAGCUCUGCUGUCACGGCUGUCACUGCUGCUGCUGCUGCGCACAGCCUCCAAAAAGGCACAAACACACACAAACACACACACACACAGAACACUGUCAUAGCAUCCCAACCCUUCGAUAUCCUGCUUCACAACAAC